ACUCCUACGGGAGGCAGCAGUGGGGAAUUUUGGACAAUGGGCGAAAGCCUGAUCCAGCAAUGCCGCGUGAGUGAAGAAGGCCUUCGGGUUGUAAAGCUCUUUUGUCAGGGAAGAAACGGUGAGAGCUAAUAUCUCUUGCUAAUGACGGUACCUGAAGAAUAAGCACCGGCUAACUACGUGCCAGCAGCCGCGGUAAUACGUAGGGUGCAAGCGUUAAUCGGAAUUACUGGGCGUAAAGCGUGCGCAGGCGGUUUUGUAAGUCUGAUGUGAAAUCCCCGGGCUCAACCUGGGAAUUGCAUUGGAGACUGCAAGGCUAGAAUCUGGCAGAGGGGGGUAGAAUUCCACGUGUAGCAGUGAAAUGCGUAGAUAUGUGGAGGAACACCGAUGGCGAAGGCAGCCCCCUGGGUCAAGAUUGACGCUCAUGCACGAAAGCGUGGGGAGCAAACAGGAUUAGAAACCCUGGUAGUCCCAU
rnacentral:rRNA from 1 species